rnacentral:rRNA from 1 species
UACGGGGGGGGUAAGCGUUGUUCGGAAUUACUGGGCGUAAAGGGCUCGUAGGCGGCCAACUAAGUCAGACGUGAAAUCCCUCAGCUUAACUGGGGAACUGCGUCUGAUACUGGAUGGCUUGGAUUCGGGAGAGGAAUGCGGAAUUCCAGGUGUAGCGGUGAAAUGCGUAGAUAUCUGGAGGAACACCGGUGGCGAAGGCGGCAUUCUGGACCGACACUGACGCUGAGGUGCGAAAGCGUGGGGAGCAAACAGGG